CUAAGGAAAAGCCGGCCCGUCCGAUCGGGCCGCGCGCCGACCAAGAAGCCGCCGCCGGCGCAUCCCUUCUCACGGAUCUCAUCGUUGUCAACCAAGUGAUGAGCUUGGACAGCGAGGGGCUAGUAGCUCAGUUGGUUAGAGCGCGCGCUUGAUAAGCGUGAGGUCGGAGGUUCAAAUCCUCCCUGGCCCACCACCCAUCAGGCGACACCGCGUUACACCGACAUGGGGGCAUAGCUCAGUUGGGAGAGCGCCUGCUUUGCAAGCAGGAGGUCGUCGGUUCGAUCCCGUCUGCCUCCACCAGUCUUCUGGUGUCGAGGCUGCAGGGUUGGGACCGGAUGUUCCGGCAGAGAUCCGUCAGAAGGAAACGCAACACGGAAACGUGAGCUUCGGGCUCCUCAUCGCUGAGGGGACUGGAGCGGGAUCAUGGACAGUGUGAAGACGAUUGUUAAGUGACCGAGGACGGACCUCGGGCCGGCUCUGAAGAAGGGUUGGUUCGAUGGUCAAUGCAUCUUGCGGCGUUGUGCGUGCGUCUGGGCUUGCCCCUGCGCGUGGCGCAACCGCUGAGUUUAGG
rnacentral:tRNA from 1 species